rnacentral:rRNA from 1 species
UACGUAGGGGCCUAGCGUUGUCCGGAUUUAUUGGGCGUAAAGAGCUCGUAGGCGGUUUGGUAAGUCGGGUGUGAAAUCUCCACGCUCAACGUGGAGGGGCCACUCGAUACUGCCAUGACUCGAGUCCGGUAGAGGAGUGUGGAAUUCCCGGUGUAGCGGUGAAAUGCGUAGAGAUGUGGAGGAAUACCGAUGGCGAAGGCAGCCCCCUGGGAUAACACUGACGCUCAUGCACGAAAGCGUGGGGAGCAAACAGG